AACGCACAUUGCGCCCAUUAGUAUUCUAGUGGGCAUGCCUGUUCGAGCGUCAUUUCAACCCCUAAGCACAGCUUAUUGUUGGGAACCUACGGCUUCGUAGUUCCUCAAAGACAUUGGCGGAGUGGCAGUGGUCCUCUGAGCGUAGUAAUCUUUUAUCUCGCUUCUGUUAGGUGCUGCCCCCCCGGCCGUAAAACCCCCAAAUUUUUCUGGUUGACCUCGGAUCAGGUAGGAAUACCCGCUGAACUUAA
rnacentral:misc_RNA from 1 species